rnacentral:rRNA from 1 species
GCUCAGAAACUUAAAUGAAUUGACGGGGGCCCGCACAAGCGGUGGAGCAUGUGGUUUAAUUCGAUGAUACGCGAGGAACCUUACCUGGGCUCAAAUGUAUGUUGACGUAUUCUGAAAGGGAUACUUCUUCGGACAAUAUACAAGGUGCUGCAUGGUUGUCGUCAGCUCGUGUCGUGAGAUGUUGGGUUAAGUCCCGCAACGAGCGCAACCCUCGUCGUAUGUUGCCAGCACGUAAUGGUGGGAACUCAUAUGAGACUGCCGGGGUCAACUCGGAGGAAGGUGGGGAUGACGUCAAAUCAUCAUGCCCCUUAUGUCUUGGGCUUCACGCAUGCUACAAUGGCCGGUACAAAGGGCUGCGAUGUCGUAAGGCGGAGCGAAUCCCAAAAAGCCGGUCUCAGUUCGGAUUGAGGUCUGCAACUCGACCUCAUGAAGUCGGAGUCGCUAGUAAUCGCAGAUCAGCAACGCUGCGGUGAAUACGUUCCCGGGCCUU